GGUUGCGAUCAUACCAGCAGUAAUGCACCGGAUCCCAUCAGAACUCCGCAGUUAAGCGUGCUUGGGCGAGAGUAGUACUUGGAUGGGUGACCCCCUGGGAAGUCCUCGUGUUGCAACCC
rnacentral:rRNA from 1 species